rnacentral:tRNA from 1 species
GAGUUUGUAGCUCAGUAGUAGAGCACUUGCCUUGCAUGCAAGAGGCCCAGCUCU